AGAGUUUGAUCCUGGCUCAGGAUGAACGCUGGCGGCGUGCCUAACACAUGCAAGUCGAGCGAUCUUCUUCGGAAGAGAGCGGCGGACGGGUGAGUAACGCGUGGGUAACCUGCCUCAUACACAUGGAUAACAUACCGAAAGGUAUGCUAAUACAAGAUGAUAUAAGAGAUUCGCAUGGAUUUCUUAUCAAAGCUCCGGCGGUAUGAGAUGGACCCGCGUCUGAUUAGCUAGUUGGUAAGGUAACGGCUUACCAAGGCGACGAUCAGUAGCCGACCUGAGAGGGUGAUCGGCCACAUUGGAACUGAGACACGGUCCAAACUCCUACGGGAGGCAGCAGUGGGGAAUAUUGCACAAUGGGCGAAAGCCUGAUGCAGCAACGCCGCGUGAGCGAUGAAGGCCUUCGGGUCGUAAAGCUCUGUCCUCAAGGAAGAUAAUGACGGUACUUGAGGAGGAAGCCCCGGCUAACUACGUGCCAGCAGCCGCGGUAAUACGUAGGGGGCUAGCGUUAUCCGGAUUUACUGGGCGUAAAGGGUGCGUAGGUGGCUUCUUAAGUCAGGAGUGAAAGGCUACGGCUCAACCGUAGUAAGCUCUUGAAACUGGGAAACUUGAGUGCAGGAGAGGAAAGUGGAAUUCCUAGUGUAGCGGUGAAAUGCGUAGAUAUUAGGAGGAACACCAGUAGCGAAGGCGGCUUUCUGGACUGUAACUGACACUGAGGCACGAAAGCGUGGGGAGCAAACAGGAUUAGAUACCCUGGUAGUCCACGCCGUAAACGAUGAGUACUAGGUGUCGGGGGUUACCCCCCUCGGUGCCGCAGCUAACGCAUUAAGUACUCCGCCUGGGGAGUACGCUCGCAGAGUGAAACUCAAAGGAAUUGACGG
rnacentral:rRNA from 1 species